UCCGGAUCGAACACAAUAUAGACAAUGUGAAGUGGUAUACA
rnacentral:misc_RNA from 1 species